UCAGGCUAACAGCCAUUUACUGAGGGCUGUCUUUCAGCUCGGAGAAUCGCAAAGUGUGGCAGAUUCCCAGAAUAGAAGAAACACAGAAUACAUGAGGAAGAAUAAACUCUACUAAUGCUGAAAGGCGUCAAAAGGACCUACUGAGAGGCUCGUCGUAUGUCCUUGGCUUCUGCAUCUCUCCCCCAUCUUUCUGCAGGUGUCUACGAGAGAUUUCACCAUGGAAGAUGAGUCUCUCCUCAGGGAUUUGCCCAAUCACGGCAAAAUUACAGGCCUCAGAGAGGAAACAGACAUAUCACUCUCUGAUGCUCUUCAGCCUUUGGGCAUUGGAGUCAAUCAGAGCCAUGGGGAGUUAUUUUAUGUGGACCCAGAAAAGGAGGAGCCCCAGAGGAGCAGUGAUCCAGUGGAGUCUACUUCUGAAAAGGCAGCUUCAGGGAGCCCUGAUGUCAUUCUCGCAUGGAGGAGACAUAGUCUGCCACCUCCUAUGAUUUACCUCAAACAUCUCAAAGACCCCUCGAAUGCUCCGGGUCUUCGUGAUUCACUGAAUUUGACCCAGAAUGUGCUGGAUAGUGUGGAGGGAGGCCAUGGUGCAGAAGAUGAUGGAACCCCUACUGGAGAAGGGACCAGCCGGGGUGCCAUGACCCCUGAGGAGCCCCAGCAGGGGGCAUCUUGCUCCUCGGUGAUGGCUGCAGACUCGCAUGAUGCCAUGAGUCACGAUUUUCACGUUAAGUUGUUGGGCCGUGAGGAAUCUGCACAAGCUGGCCUUGCAGCCAAGGCAUCCAUUUUCAGUGAUUUGGGAUCCACCUUGGAAUCUGAUACCCACCUCCCCGAAGAGAUCUCCCAUGAACCCAUCUCCCCAGAAACAGCCUUCGAAGCUCCAAGCCUGUGUGACCAGCUGCUCUCUCAUACUGCAGAAAACAUCCUUGGAGGGUCUAGCCAGAGCCUGGAAUUUGAGGGAAAUUUGAGAAAGCCAGAAGAAAUCCUGGCCAUGAAUAUGUCUACAUCAAGCUUGGCAGCCUCCAGACAUUAUAACUCCCCAAGAGCGCUGCAGGACAACGGAAGCUCUGAGUGCUAUGCUGGGAACAGUUCCGGGGUCCAAGGUCCAAAUGCUGUACCUUGUAGUGUCAAUAGGGGUGAGGAAGAAGCUGAUGGAAAAAAGACCAACAAGGGGAGAAGUAGUCAAAUAAAGAAAUUUUCAAAGAAAAUCAAGCAAAAAUUGAGAGAAAGUCGCAUUGGCUCAAGAAGAAAGGAGAACAAGGAGGAUCCGCUGGAGGUAUGUGAGAAAAACGGGGAAACUGAGCUGGCUGCCCAGAGACGGGACCAUGGCGUUCUCCAGCAUCCAAAUCAGCAGCCAGUUAUGAAGGAUGAUUAUAACAAAGGUGUAGCCACUGGAAAUCAGAUGGAGGAGACGGCUGACUGCCACUAUCCAGUUAGCACAUACUUAGGCCAGAUCACGUCCAUUCAGCCGAUGCAUCCUGGGGACUCGGAAGGAGCCUCUCAGAAGAGACUGGAAUCUGAUGACAUCUACGACACCUUGGAGUCAUAUAUGGUGCAGCAGGAGGUGGAACAAGAACAAGAGGAGAUGACUGCUGACUUUUCAUGUAUAAAGUCAGAACAGGUUCUGGAUCAUUCCGCUGUGAUAAGUCAUCACCACCUGAACAGGCAGCUGAGUCUCGGGGCCCAAAAUGAACAUGAGAGGGAUCAGGGGCAGGGGAAGGCAUGCGAUGAGGGCAUCAGGAUGCCUCACGAUUCUGCAGAUUCGCAGGCAGCCCCGGAUCCAAGUUCUGUGGGACUGGGAGGAGCUGACUUUGGUCGUGUGUACCGGAUCCCCCGCUUCGGCAUCUUCAAAUCACCCCCUCCCACCUCUGCCUGUCCAGUGCCCCCCAGCUCACACAGAGCUUAGUCCAGUCCCCCACAAUGGUGCAGGUCCAUCCAUAGGCACGAUACCUCCUGGAGGGCUCUGUGUUGCUACUCUGUAUCCCUUUGGCUCCACAACUGUGUCGUUAGUCUCUACUGCCCAAAAGAGAAACCCCAGGACUCAUUCGACCACUUCUCAUCUUGUUUGACUGACAGCUGAUCACAGCUGCUGCGGUGCAGCCCGUUACUCUGGGAGAUGUUGGACAUUAUCUGGGUGUCUGACACCUGAACAGAACCACAGAGACAUCGUGAGGAAAAGUGCAGCACCAUCCAGCUGAAUAUAUACAGACAAACAGACAACAUAGUAUCUCAUUGGCUGAAAGUCCAGAUAACGGAAAAAGAUUGGCUGCUGCGUUACCUCUUCAAAUUUCUUGGCCUUGUAUUGCUCCGCCCCCUUCAGGAAGUUCAGAAGGAUGAUGUCGCAAAGAACUGUUCCCUGCAGCCAAUUAUGAUGGAGGUGAAGACAGAAGAGUAAUGUAUGAAAUAUGUAUUAGACAAAAUUACUAGUACUGAUCCAGUGUGUUCACUGUUAUGUUAUCAUAUGAAGGCCCUCUGUCUGCUUCAGUAACUGGCAAAUCUCACCACUCCCACAGAGGUAAACGCUGCAACCAUGUUGAUGAUAGUUGGGAUCAUGUUGAACUUCCCGGCCUAUCAAUAAAACAAAGGUGCACAGGUGUACAAAAAUUCUCAACAAAAUUCACAGCAUCCUACAUAAAACAAUAUUACUAGAGCAAGGGACCUCCUCCAUCAUGAUACAAGACCGUUCUUAAACACUAUCUGUAGUAGGUGCUCAUGGGACAUGUAGUCGCACAGAAACUCACGUUGCCAUUGACCAGCACAUCAAAGCGGAUGGCGUAGGCCUUGAGCAGUGUGCGGUACUCAGUCCCAUUGUCCAUCUUGUAGUACUUAGCAUACCUGAUACCAAAAGAAUUAGAAGAGGUUAAUGGGGAUUCUGUUGCUCUUCAGUAGCAGGGCUGAUUGACCUUCAAUAACCAUCUCUGGAAUUUUUUGAUCCCAUUAGACGGUGCGUUUAGAUUACUUUGGAGCAGGCCUUGAGCCCUUUUUUUGUACAGAAAGCACCAUCUGGUGGAAUCAGAAAAUACCGCAAAUGGUUCAUGAGACAUUUUUGCCAUCACUAACCUUCGGUAAUGGUGCAGCUGCUUCUCCAGCGAGAAUAGACCUUGUAUUCAAAAAAUAAGCUUAGCGUUCAUUACCUAAAAUUGUACCC